UGAGGAAUAUUGGUCAAUGGGGGGAACCCUGAUCCAGCCAUGCCGCGUGUGUGAAGAAGGCCUUUUGGUUGUAAAGCACUUUAAGCGAGGAGGAGGCUACCUGGAUUAAUACUCUAGGAUAGUGGACGUUACCCGCAGAAUAAGCACCGGCUAACUCUGUGCCAGCAGCCGCGGUAAUACAGAGGGUGCGAGCGUUAAUCGGAUUUACUGGGCGUAAGGCGUGCGUAGGCGGCUGAUUAAGUCGGAUGUGAAAUCCCUAAGCUUAACUUAGGAAUUGCAUUCGAUACUGGUCAGCUAGAGUAUGGGAGAGGAUGGUAGAAUUCCAGGUGUAGCGGUGAAAUGCGUAGGGAUGUGGAGGAACACCGAUGGCGAAGGCAGCCCCCUGGGCCGAUACUGACGC
rnacentral:rRNA from 1 species